rnacentral:rRNA from 1 species
AAUGAACGUUGGCGGCGUGGAUUAGGCAUGCAAGUCGAGCGAGAAGUUUCCUUCGGGAGAAUGGACAGCGGCGAACGGGAGAGUAACGAGUGGAGUACCUGCCCCGAGACCCGGGAUAGCCGUGGGAAACUGCGGGUAAUACCGGAUAAUGUCUCCGGACCAAAGGUGCGAUUCCGUCUUGGGAUGGCUCCGCUUCCUAUUAGCUUGUUGGUGAGGUAACGGCUCACCAAGGCAACUAUGGGUACCGGGUGUGAGAGCAUGACCCGGCUCACUGGGACUGAGACACUGCCCAGACACCUACGGGUGGCUGCAGUCGAGAAUCUUCGGCAAUGGACGCAAGUCCGACCGAGCGACGCCGCGUGCGGGAUGAAGGCCCUCGGGUUGUAAACCGCUGUCGGAGGGGAUGAAAUGCUAGGUGGUUAUCCGUCUAGUUUGACAUAUCCUCGGAGGAAGGACGGGCUAAGUUCGUG